rfam:Brachypodium distachyon strain Bd21 chromosome 4, whole genome shotgun sequence.
UUAAUACUCCCUCCGUCCAAUAAAGGAUGUCUCAACUUUGACCAAAUUUGAAUGCAUCUAUACACUAAGUCAUGUUUUUUUGAUAAACUUGAGACAUCUUUUGUUGGACGGAGGGAGUACAUG